rnacentral:rRNA from 1 species
AGAGUUUGAUCCUGGCUCAGGAUGAACGCUAGCGGCAGGCUUAACACAUGCAAGUCGAGGGGCAGCACGAUGUAGCAAUACAUUGGUGGCGACCGGCGCACGGGUGCGUAACACGUAUGGAACUUGCCCUUUACUGGGAGAUAGCCCUCCGAAAGGAGGAUUAAUAUCCCAUAAUAAACGAGGUGGCAUCACCUUGUUUUGAAAGCUCCGGCGGUAAAGGAUGGCCAUGCGCACGAUUAGCUAGUUGGUGAGGUAAUGGCUCACCAAGGCUACGAUCGUUAGGGGGCCUGAGAGGGUUAUCCCCCACACUGGUACUGAGACACGGACCAGACUCCUACGGGAGGCAGCAGUGAGGAAUAUUGCGCAAUGGAGGCAACUCUGACGCAGCCAUGCCGCGUGCAGGAAGAAGGCGCUACGCGUUGUAAACUGCUUUUAACCGGGAAGAAACCCCAGGACGUGUCCUGGGUUGACGGUACCGGAGGAAUAAGCACCGGCUAACUUCGUGCCAGCAGCCGCGGUAAUACGAAGGGUGCAAGCGUUAUCCGGAUUCAUUGGGUUUAAAGGGUGCGUAGGCGGGGCGUUAAGUCAGUGGUGAAAUCCUACAGCUCAACUGUAGACUUGCCAUUGAUACUGACGCUCUUGAGUGCGCUUGAAGUAGGCGGAAUGUGCCGUGUAGCGGUGAAAUGCUUAGAUAUGGCACAGAACACCGAUCGCGAAGGCAGCUUACUAAGGCGAUACUGACGCUGAGGCACGAAAGCGUGGGGAUCGAACAGGAUUAGAUACCCUGGUAGUCCACGCCGUAAACGAUGAUCACUCGUCAUUGGCGAUACACUGUCAGUGACCUAGCGAAAGCGUUAAGUGAUCCACCUGGGGAGUACGAUCGCAAGAUUGAAACUCAAAGGAAUUGACGG